rnacentral:rRNA from 1 species
AUUGAACGCUGGCGGCACGCUUAACACAUGCAAGUCGGACGGCAGCACGGGUGCUUGCACCUGGUGGCGAGUGGCGGACGGGUGAGUAAUGCGUAGGGACCUACCGUAAAGAGUGGGACAACUCGAGGAAACUCGAGCUAAUACUGCAUAACGUCUGAGGACGAAAGGUGGCGCCUUAGGGGCUACCGCUUAACGAAGGGCCUACGUCGGAUUAGCUAGUUGGAGGGGUAAAGGCCCACCAAGGCAACGAUCCGUAGCUGGUUUGAGAGAAUGAUCAGCCACACUGGGACUGAGACACGGCCCAGACUCCUACGGGAGGCAGCAGUGGGGAAUAUUGGACAAUGGGGGCAACCCUGAUCCAGCGAUGCCGCGUGUGUGAAGAAGGCCUGCGGGUUGUAAAGCACUUUAGUUGGGGAGGAGAGGCCGUAUGUGAAUAAUGUACGGAAGAGACGUUACCCAAAGAAUAAGCACCGGCAAACUCUGUGCCAGCCGCCGCAGUAA